CAAAGUCAGGAUCGUUCCUGUAUCUCCCUCCAGUGUGAAAUAUCAAUCUGCCGACCACAAUGCUAGAAGUGAAAAAGCCUCCCAUUUGCAAAGAAAGUCAAGACAUAUAGUAUUUCCUCCAUGCUCUCUAUGCAGCUAAUGGAAUAUAGCUAUUGGUCCAGAGCAAGGCAUAUCCUUCAUUGUCUCAUCCUACCCCACUGGAUCAAUACUAAUUGCAUGCGGUUCCACACUAGAAAGAAACAGAACAAGACAGAAGUUUGGGAUUGAUGUGAUGUAGGAUGCUACAUUGCAAGAAAAGCAGCUAUAUGUAGGCAGUAGGCAGCUCACUAGGUGCUGGAACAGAGCCAGUGUGUUUCAAACCCUGCGCAGACUCUGCACACUUCACGG